CUUUGAUCUGGACAAACCCAACUGCCUUUAUUGUUGCACAGCCUUCUGUGUCAUCAGUGGAGGAAGUGUUUCCCUGUACUCUAAACUCACCUUCUAUCAUGACCUGUUUGGGGUGUUUAGAUCAUUGCAGGUAAACACUGAGCUCGUUGCCUGAGCCAAAUAGCCCUGGUGCCAUAACAGCAACCUCACAACACCGUAGCAACAAACACCUAUUACACUUGUUACCUGUCAGGAGCUACUUUGUGCACUUCGAAUGGAUUAUUACCUUAUUGAAUCCCACAACAACCUUAGGAGGGUGAAGAGGAAGACAUUGGUCAAGUUGAGUAGCUCCCAGGAGACACAUCAGUUUCAAAUCACAGCCACAGCAGACACCAUCUUAUUGGCUUGAUGACUCUUCAUAGACACAUGGAAGACAUAAGUCAUAGAAAGUAAAUCUGAGUGAAAAAUAGGAGAAAACAUAUGUGCAGAAGAAGAAAUAAACUGAGAAACAUUCAUUUAAAGAUAUGUCAUUGAAAAGUUUCAAGCGUUGUUGAAAAAAACACAUAUUCUUUAGUCAUU
rnacentral:lncRNA from 1 species